rnacentral:rRNA from 1 species
AUAUUUCACAAAGGGGGAAACCCUGAUGCAGCGACGCCGCGUUAGUGAAGAAGUAUUUCGGUAUGUAAAGCUCUAUCAGCAGGGAAGAUAAUGACGGUACCUGACUAAGAAGCCCCCGCUAACUACGUGCCACCAGUCGCGGUAAUGCGUAGGGGGCAAGCGUUAUCCGGAUUUACGGGGUGUAAAGGGAGCGUAGGUGGCAGGGCAAGUCAGAUGUGAAAACCCGGGGCUCAACCCCGGGAGUGCAUUUGAAACUGUCCAGCUGGAGUGCAGGAGAGGUAAGCGGAAUUCCUAGUGUAGCGGUGAAAUGCAUAGAUAUUAGGAGGAACACCAGUGGCGAAGGCGGCUUACUGGACUGUAACUGACACUGAGGCUCGAAAGCGUGGGGAGCAAACAGG